UGAAAGAAAUCAUGGCGGUGGCUGGGGCCUGGUAGAUGGAGGGUACGGGAUUUCGUUCCCGCAUCCUCAGUUUGAUCCAAUAAUUUUGUCGUGCCACCAAAACAUGGUAUGCCAGCCUAAUCAGAUUUGAAUAAACUGCUCGAAGAACCUCUGUCAGCUCAUCGCGGGAAUAUGCAGAUAGCUUCAGACGAGUCAGCACUAGUCUACGGACAUGGGCAUGGUGAAUGAUAGUGUGCCUACAGAGUUCCACUACAAGCUGACCGAGCUCGAUAUCUGUCAUUGACUGCGUGGUCACCAUUCCAGUGAAGGGAUAUCUUGAAGUUAGGAACUGUUUCUGUAGCUUAAUGGGAAGGAACUGGUGUAAGAACUCGUGCUGGAUUGCAUGCUGGAGGGCCUUUGGAUGCCCAGUACCCAACGAAGUGAGGACAACAUCGAUGUCACUCUUAGAUGCAGUGUUAUGCUUCAGCAAAAAUGAGAAUAUGUCAAGAGACAUAUCAACAUACCUCAUGUUUGUCAUGGUACUUGGGUGAUCAACGAUGAAGUCUUCAUCAACAUUUGGAGCGUCUAGAUCUUGAAAGUACGAUUCCAUAUGAAGGGGAAGCAGCGAGGGUGAGGUAUUGUGGGUUUCCCGAAUAGUGUCCUUCAUAAACAUUGACAUCUGAUUGUAGCCACUAGACGGGUUCGAUCCCCACUCUCGUGAUGGAUCGAGCUGCAAGGUGCGAAACGCCACAAAAUUGUUUUGUUUGAUCACCACAACAUUCCCCUUGAUGAAAUGGUUCAUGAGCGAAAACCCACUCAGAUUGGCAUUCCGUAUAGUUAGCGCUGCGGAGCGAAGUACAAUUCUUGCUGUGUCUGUGAUCUGAUAGGGCCUCUUGGGGUCAAACAAUUUUCCAUACAGUGUAGGGGGUGAAGAAAUCUGGACCAGCAGUGGCUUGUUUUUUACAUAGUCAUCCCAGUCGUCAAUCUGAUCAAUAGUGUAUGAAAUGGGUCCAUUCUCACCCCUGCAAAUGUUAAUUUUAGUGAUUAGAAAUAAAUAAUUAUAUGAAUUGCAUGCCUUGCUGAAAAUAAAUAAUCAUAUGAAAAAUGUAGAGUUUGCUAGCAAGUAUUUUGAGGUAUUGGCUGCCGGAAAAAGAGUUUUUAGUGUUCGUGGUACAGAAUAUACACAUAUUGUGGAUAUAAAUGCAAGGACUUGUGACUGCAGGCGAUGGCAGCUAUCUGGAAUUCCUUGUGGGCAUGCCAUAGCUUGCUUUAGAUCAGAGAGGAUCCAAUCUGAGUCCAUGAUUGCCUCAUGUUAUCAUCGAGACAUGUUUUUGGAGGCAUAUGUACUUGGAGCUACCAUUACCAUAUUGCCACCUAAAUAUGAAAAGAAGGUGGGUAGGCCACCAACAAGAAACAGAAAGAAGCAUCCAAUUGAACUUGAGGGGAGUUCAAAGCUGUGCAAACAUGGUGUAACCAUGCAUUGUAGCUACUGUAAAGGUCCAGAUCACACUAAAAAGGGUUGUGUUAGACGCAAACUUGGAAUUCCACCUUCACUUGUGAAGAAGAGAAAGAGGUUUGCUCUAUAACCUGAUCAGGAUGAGACCCACUAUGGUGAUCAAGAUAUUUUAAGGAAAUAAUGCCUGAGCUACCAGGAUAUAGUGAUCCGACAAAAGAUUCUGAAAACCUGGUGACCAUCUGUUGUGGACCGAUUCUUCGGUCACAAGUUCCAGCGACGUAACAAGAAGGCGGCUUCUACUAGUGGCUAGGACACUUUACAUUUUAAUGGCUGUAAUUUAUAUUAUUCAGAGUUUAGUUGGUUCGUGUGGUCUGGUCCCUGUUAGUGUCCAGGUUUUAAGAGGGAGAAAGUACUAGUUUUUGAGGGUGUGUUACAGACACUUUAUCCCUGUAACAUUUUUUUAGGGGGGGCUUUACCCCCACAAUCUCUUCUUAAUAUAUUGAUGUGUAGUUCU